rnacentral:lncRNA from 1 species
AAUCGCUAUCGCUAUAACCAACAAGCUUAUAGUCAUUAGAAGUUGAAUAAAACAAGCCAAAGUUGAUUGUACCUUUGAGGUAGCGGAGAAUUCUUCUUGCAGCCUUCAAGUGUGUAGUAGUUGGAUUCUCCAUGUAGCGACUUAUGAGGCGGUGUCUCCCAUGAAAAACACAAAGCCCGUGGUACUUUUUUUAUCAUCAAUGUCUCUGGCCCAAUCCCUAUCGCUAUAACCAACAAGCUUAUAAUCAUUAGAAGUUGAAUAAAACAAGCCAAAGUUGAUUGUACCUUUGAGGUAGCGGAGAAUUCUUCUUGCAGCCUUCAAGUGUGUAGUAGUUGGAUUCUCCAUGUAGCGAUUUAUAAGGCCGGUGGCGUAGAGAAUGUCGGGUCUCGUGCAAGUCAAAUAUCGAAAGCUCCCAACUAAGCUCUUGAACAUCGUCGUGUCCACUUUCUCAGCUUCAUCAUGCUUCGAC